CCCCAAAACCUAGAAAUAUGAAGCGUUUCCUAUUUCUAUACAUAUUUGUACUCUUCAGACAUGAAGAAUACGCUCUACUCUUCAGGUAUCGCCGUUGUUGUUGCCUGAUGUUUCCCCCUGGAGCCAUCGUUUCAUUUCCUUCCUUCUUUGGGUGGACGGGGAUUGUUCCCACAGGAUUGAAGUUUCAUCAUUACAUCAACUGGUUUAUUCUGAACUUAUGUUAAUUUUUCAACCAGCUCUUCAAAGACUAAGACUAGACCAGUAUGUUGUGAUAGGAGGCGCCCUCAACUGUUUUUGGUGAAGUUUUUUGAUAGCUAGGUUUUGCAUGGUUUCUUUGUCCUUAGAUUGACAAACAAUGUUGUUUUUGUGCUGUUUAUUUUGUAGCAUCCCAUUGAAAAUGUAAUUAUUGG